AGUGAACGCUGGCGGUAUGCCUAACACAUGCAAGUCGAACGGCAGCACAGUAAGAGCUUGCUCUUACGGGUGGCGAGUGGCGGACGGGUGAGGAAUACAUCGGAAUCUACUUUUUCGUGGGGGAUAACGUAGGGAAACUUACGCUAAUACCGCAUACGACCUACGGGUGAAAGCAGGGGAUCUUCGGACCUUGCGCGAUUGAAUGAGCCGAUGUCGGAUUAGCUAGUUGGCGGGGUAAAGGCCCACCAAGGCGACGAUCCGUAGCUGGUCUGAGAGGAUGAUCAGCCACACUGGAACUGAGACACGGUCCAGACUCCUACGGGAGGCAGCAGUGGGGAAUAUUGGACAAUGGGCGCAAGCCUGAUCCAGCCAUACCGCGUGGGUGAAGAAGGCCUUCGGGUUGGAAAGCCCUUUUGUUGGGAAAGAAAAGCAGCAGGUUAAUACCCCGCUGUUCUGACGGUACCCAAAGAAUAAGCACCGGCUAACUUCGUG
rnacentral:rRNA from 1 species